UACGUAGGGUGCAAGCGUUAAUCGGAAUUACUGGACGUAAAGCGUGCGCAGGCGGUUUUGUAAGUCUGUCGUGAAAUCCCCCGGGCUCAACCUGGGAAUGGCGAUGGAGACUGCAAGGCUAGAAUCUGGCAGGGGGGGGGUAGAAUUCCACGUGUAGCAGUGAAAUCGUAGAGAUGUGGAGGAACACCGAUGGCGAAGGCAGCU
rnacentral:rRNA from 1 species